rnacentral:rRNA from 1 species
UGCAAGUCGAACGGCAGCACAGAAGAGCUUGCUCUUUGGGUGGCGAGUGGCGGACGGGUGAGUAAUGUCUGGGAAACUGCCCGAUGGAGGGGGAUAACUACUGGAAACGGUAGCUAAUACCGCAUAACGUCGCAAGACCAAAGUGGGGGACCUUCGGGCCUCACACCAUCGGAUGUGCCCAGAUGGGAUUAGCUAGUAGGUGGGGUAAUGGCUCACCUAGGCGACGAUCCCUAGCUGGUCUGAGAGGAUGACCAGCCACACUGGAACUGAGACACGGUCCAGACUCCUACGGGAGGCAGCAGUGGGGAAUAUUGCACAAUGGGCGCAAGCCUGAUGCAGCCAUGCCGCGUGUAUGAAGAAGGCCUUCGGGUUGUAAAGUACUUUCAGCGGGGAGGAAGGCGGUGAGGUUAAUAACCUCGCCGAUUGACGUUACCCGCAGAAGAAGCACCGGCUAACUCCGUGCCAGCAGCCGCGGUAAUACGGAGGGUGCAAGCGUUAAUCGGAAUUACUGUGCGUAAAGCGCACGCAGGCGGUCUGUUAAGUCAGAUGUGAUAUCCCCGGGCUUAACGUGGGAACUGCAUUUGAAACUGGCAGGCUUGAGUCUCGUAGAGGGGGGUAGAAUUCCAGGUGUAGCGGUGAAAUGCGUAGAGAUGUGGAGGAAUACCGGUGGCGAAGGCGGCCUCCUGGACGAAGACUGACGCUCAGGUGCGAGAGCGUGUGGAGCAAACAGGAUUAGAUACCCUGGUAGUCCACGCCGUAAACGAUGUCGACUUGGAGGUUGUGCCCUUGAGGCGUGGCUUCCGGAGCUAACGCGUUAAGUCGACCGCCUGGGGAGUACGGCCGCAAGGUUAAAACUCAAAUGAAUUGACGGGGGCCCGCACAAGCGGUGGAGCAUGUGGUUUAAUUCGAUGCAACGCGAAGAACCUUACCUGGCCUUGACAUCCAGAGAACUUAGCAGAGAUGCUUUGGUGCCUUCGGGAACUCUGAGACAGGUGCUGCAUGGCUGUCGUCAGCUCGUGUUGUGAAAUGUUGGGUUAAGUCCCGCAACGAGCGCAACCCUUAUCCUUUGUUGCCAGCGGUUCGGCCGGGAACUCAAAGGAGACUGCCGGUGAUAAACCGGAGGAAGGUGGGGAUGACGUCAAGUCAUCAUGGCCCUUACGGCCAGGGCUACACACGUGCUACAAUGGCGCAUACAAAGAGAAGCGACCUCGCGAGAGCAAGCGGACCUCAUAAAGUGCGUCGUAGUCCGGAUUGGAGUCUGCAACUCGACUCCAUGAAGUCGGAAUCGCUAGUAAUCGUAGAUCAGAAUGCUACGGUGAAUACGUUCCCGGGCCUUGUACACACCGCCCGUCACACCAUGGGAGUGGGUUGCAAAAGAAGUAGGUAGCUUAACCUUCGGGAGGGCGCUUACCACUUGG